UUCUCUAGCAGUUCAAAAUGGUGCAGUACAAGGUCUGAAGUGGGCAUGGAAGUUGGCAGAACUCAUUGCCAAGCAGAGUACUAACAGGCUUGGAGAAGUGGAAGAAGGAAGUAAAUGUCUGCAAUGAGUAGAAAGAAACUAAGGGUGAACACUGCCUCUAUUUUGAGAUGAAAGCCUUCUGUAGGCUGCAAAAUGGAUGUGAUACCGUUCAACUAAUAAUUGCUUAACUGCAAACAACACGCAAGCAUCCCUCCACCCCUUUAUGUGACAAAUGCAGGAAAGUUUGUUUUGUAACUAGGAAGAGCUACAUGCCUGAAGUGUGGCUCAGCCCCUGGAGCUGCUCUGAGGAAUCCUAUAAAAGAGCUUGGAGCACAGAGCUCUUCAAACUACUCUUCUUGGCUUUACCCUUGUGGCAAACUGAGUUUACUUCCAGACAGAAAGAUGUCUUUCAAUGGACAGGUCUGCAACUACAGCAACUUCUCACCCUGUGAUGUGAGCUGCCCCGCACCAUAUGCCAAUGCCUGGAGCAAUGAGCCCUGCGUCACCUCCUGUGGGGACUCCCGUGCUGUGGUCUACCCACCACCCGUGACCAUUGUCUUCCCAGGCCCCAUCCUCAGUUCCUGCCCUCAGGAGAGCAUCGUGGGCAGCUCAUCCCCACUGGAGAUAGGCAGCUCCUUUGGGUAUGGGAGCUCCCAGGAUGUGCAGAGCUCCUUUCAGUCUGGCACCUCCCUGGGUGGCAGGUACUCCUAUCCCUGCUAUUCCCGCAGGUACACGACUUACCGUAGUGGGAGCUGUGGGCCCUGCUAAGCACUGCAAGGGUGCCCUGGGGAGCUGGACCCAGCAGGGACCAGAGUAAAUUCCUAGUCCAUGAGUGAGCAGAGGGACAUGGCUUUCAGAGGGGCAAUGUACCAGGCUGCAGCAGGGGUUCUGAGUAACUGGGCACACUCAUCUACCCUGAGAAACAAACCUAGACAUCGUAUUUCCCCUCCUAUUGGAUCAGGUAUCUGCUAAGAAGAUCCCAGCUCUGAGAAAAACAGAAAAGGCCUUAGCUG